rnacentral:rRNA from 1 species
UACGGAGGGUGCGAGCGUUGUCCGGAAUCAUUGGGCGUAAAGGGCGCGUAGGUGGCCCGGUCAGUUCGUGGUGAAAGCGCGGGGCUCAACCCCGCGUCGGCCAUGGAUACUGCUGGGCUUGAGCACUGUAGAGGCAGGCGGAAUUCCGGGUGUAGCGGUGGAAUGCGUAGAGAUCCGGAAGAACACCGGUGGCGAAGGCGGCCUGCUGGGCAGUAGCUGACGCUGAGGCGCGACAGCGUGGGGAGCAAACAGG